rnacentral:lncRNA from 1 species
CCACACGUGCUUACUCCUUCUCCAUGAUCUCCCAUUUCUCACCAGCUCUCCUGAUGGCUAACAGACUAGCUAGUGGGAUUUAUGCCAAGCCUUUGCCACAUACAAAGGUUGAGUGGUUGCACGAUAAAUUGGGUUAGGCAAGAUGACACAUCAACUCGGUCCUUAAUCCAGACAAGAUGGAUAUCUCCCAACCUAAUCAACCACUAAGGUACAAGCCCAUCCUGACAUUUCACACAAGAAACACCCAUCCGUCUCAUCUAAACAUCUUUCCUUAUUUUCCACCAAAACCCCAUUUAUUUUCA